CCCUGGGACAACAUACUGUAUAGGUAUGAUAUCCCUGGGACAGCAUACUGUAUAGGUAUGAUAUCCCUGGGACAGCAUACUGUAUAGGUAUGAUAUCCCUGAGACAACAUAUAGGUAUGAUAUCCCUGGGACAGCAUACUGUAUAGGUAUGAUAUCCCUGGGACAGCAUACUGUAUAGGUAUGAUAUCCCUGGGACAACAUAUAGGGAUGAUAUCCCUGGGACAACAUACUGUAUAGGUAUGAUAUCCCUGGGACAACAUACUGUAUAGGUAUGAUAUCCCUGGGACAACAUACUGUAUAGGUAUGAUAUCCCUGAGACAACAUACUGUAUAGGUAUGAUAUCCCUGGGACAACAUACUGUAUAGGUAUGAUAUCCCUGGGACAGCAUACUGUAUAGGUAUGAUAUCCCUGGGACAGCAUACUGUAUAGGUAUGAUAUCCCUGAGACAACAUAUAGGUAUGAUAUCCCUGGGACAGCAUACUGUAUAGGUAUGAUAUCCCUGGGACAGCAUACUGUAUAGGUAUGAUAUCCCUGAGACAACAUAUAGGUAUGAUAUCCCUGGGACAGCAUACUGUAUAGGUAUGAUAUCCCUGGGACAGCAUACUGUAUAGGUAUGAUAUCCCUGAGACAACAUAUAGGUAUGAUAUCCCUGGAACAGCAUACUGUAUAGGUAUGAUAUCCCUGGGACAACAUACUGUAUAGGUAUGAUAUCCCUGGGACAACAUACUGUAUAGGUAUGAUAUCCCUGGGACAACAUACUGUAUAGGUAUGAUAUCCCUGAGACAACAUAUAGGGAUGAUAUCCCUGGGACAACAUACUGUAUAGGGAUGAUAUCCCUGGGACUACAUAUAGGUAUGAUAUCCCUGGGACAACAUACUGUAUAGUUAUGAUAUCCCUGGGACAACAUACUGUAUAGGUAUGAUAUCCCUGGGACUACAUAUAGGUAUGAUAUCCCUGGGACAACAUACUGUAUAGGUAUGAUAUCACUGGGACAACAUAUAGGUAUGAUAUCACUGGGACAACAUACUGUAUAGGUAUGAUAUCACUGGGACAACAUACUGUAUAGGAAUGAUAUCACUGGGACAACAUACUGUAUAGGAAUGAUAUCACUGCAACAACGCACUGUAUUAGUAUGAUAUCACUGGGACAACAUACUGUAUAGGAAUGAUAUCACUGCAACAACAUACUGUAUAGGAAUGAUAUCACUGCAACAACAUACUGUAUAGGAAUGAUAUCACUGCAACAACAUACUGUAUAGGAAUGAUAUCACUGCAACAACAUACUGUAUAGGAAUGAACACAUACAUCUGCAGUUAUCUUUUUUAUCCAUUAUUUUAGCAACAAUAACACAUUUUAACAUUAGACUCCUUUAAUACUCUACCUGUCUGUCUCUCUCUACCUGUCUGUCUCUCUCUACCUGUCUGUCUCUCUCUACCUGU